rnacentral:rRNA from 1 species
GGAAGAGCCCAAGAUUGAAAGCUGGCGUCUUCGGCGUCCGCAUUGUAAUCUCAAGAAGUGUUUUCCGCUUCGGACCAAGCCUAAGUCCCCUGGAAAGGGGCAUCAUAGAGGGUGAUAAUCCCGUACAUGGCUUGGAGCGCCCGAGGCUUUGUGAUACGCUUUCUAAGAGUCGAGUUGUUUGGGAAUGCAGCUCAAAAUGGGUGGUAAAUGCCAUCUAAGGCUAAAUAUUGGGGAGAGACCGAUAGCGAACAAGUACAGUGAUGGAAAGAUGAAAAGAACUUUGAAAAGAGAGUUAAACAGUACGUGAAAUUGCCAAAAGGGAAGGGUAGGAGGUCAGAGAUGCGGCCUGGGAUUCAGCCUUGCUUUUGCUUGGUGUUUUUCCCAGAUUGCAGGCCAACGUCGGUUUUGGGCACUGGAG